GACGAACGCUGGCGGCGUGCCUAAUACAUGCAAGUAGAACGCACAGUUUAUACCGUAGCUUGCUACACCAUAGACUGUGAGUUGCGAACGGGUGAGUAACGCGUAGGUAACCUGCCUGGUAGCGGGGGAUAACUAUUGGAAACGAUAGCUAAUACCGCAUAAUAUUAAUUAUUGCAUGAUAAUUAAUUGAAAGGUGCAAUUGCACCACUACCAGAUGGACCUGCGUUGUAUUAGCUAGUAGGUGAGGUAACGGCUCACCUAGGCGACGAUACAUAGCCGACCUGAGAGGGUGAUCGGCCACACUGGGACUGGGACACGGCCCAGACUCCUACGGGAGGCAGCAGUAGGGAAUCUUCGGCAAUGGACGAAAGUCUGACCGAGCAACGCCGCGUGAGUGAAGAAGGUUUUCGGAUCGUAAAGCUCUGUUGUAGGAGAAGAACGGGUGUGAGAGUGGAAAGUUCACGCUGUGACGGUAUCUUACCAGAAAGGGACGGCUAACUACGUG
rnacentral:rRNA from 1 species